GGGAGGCAGCAGUGGGGAAUUUUCCGCAAUGGGCGAAAGCCUGACGGAGUGACGCCGCGUGUGGGACGAAGGCCUUCGGGUCGUAAACCACUGUCAGUGGGAAAGAUGGGCGUCGGGGCUAAUACCUCCGGCGUCUGACGGUACCUGCAGAGGAAGCCCCGGCCAACUCUGUGCCAGCAGCCGCGGUAAGACAGAGGGGGCAAGCGUUGCUCGGAAUUACUGGGCGUAAAGGGCGCGUAGGCGGGAUGGCAAGUCGGUCGUGAAAUCCCUCGGCUCAACCGAGGAACGUCGAUCGAUACUGCUGUUCUUGAGGAUUGCAGAGGAGACUGGAAUUCCCGGUGUAGCGGUGAAAUGUGUAGAGAUCGGGAGGAACACCGGUGGCGAAGGCGGGUCUCUGGGCAAUUCCUGACGCUGAGGCGCGAAAGCGUGGGGAGCAAACGGGAUUAGAUACCCCGGUAGC
rnacentral:rRNA from 1 species